rnacentral:rRNA from 1 species
CCUACGGGUGACAGCAGUAGGGAAUCUUCCACAAUGGGCGCAAGCCUGAUGCAGCAACGCCGCGUGGGUGAAGAAGGUCUUCGGAUCGUAAAACUCUGUUGUUAGAGAAGAAAGUGCGUGCGAGUAUCUGUUCAGGUAUCGACGUUAUCUAACCAGAAAGCCACGGCUAACUACGUGCCAGCAGCCGCGGUAAUACGUAGGUGGCAAGCGUUAUCCGGAUUUAUUGGGCGUAAAGGGAACGCAGGCGGUCUUUUAAGUCUGAUGUGAAAGCCUUCGGCUUAACCGGGGAAGUGCAUUGGAAACUGGGAGACUUGAGUGCAGAAGAGGAGGGUGGAAUUCCAGGUGUAGCGGUGAAAUGCGUAGAUAUAUGGAAGAACACCAGUGGCGAAGGCAGCUCUCUGGGCUGUAACUGACGCUGAGGUUCGAAAGCGUGGGUAGCAAACAGGAUUAGAUACCCGAGUAGUC